UACAUCAACUCAUAAGUUGCCAUAGAUAUACAAGGCGGCCAGGGUAUAGUGGUUCUUUAAGGCUAACAAGGCACAGAGACGUUACAAAUAAAAAAUAUUUACAAGUUCACAUGUAGAUUUGUUUGCUAAUUGGUCAUUUCCAGAGGGAAAUGGUUGAAGGUUAGGUGUGAGAUUCAAAGUACAUUUACAAGAUCUGGUGUCAGUACAUUACUCAAACAUCAGCACCUUCCUUUUAUUGGUAAUUAAAGAUUAGCAAGUCUUAAUAUCUAUAAAUAGACUAUAGAAGGCUCUGUUUUUACUCCUCAACUGACUAAGAAAAAAUGAUGAUUCCAGUAGUGAAGGCUUUCCUUCUCUUCUCUCUAAUGGCAUUCUUAGGAACUCAUGCAAGAACUUUACCAGAAGACCUAUUCAAGAGAAGGCCAUCAGAACAUCCUUCUCCACAAGUUGAUCCUCCACAUCAUAAUGUUAUAAGCAUUUCUUUUGGUACUGGAAAUUUACGCAACAUGAUCACAAGGCCAUCACAAGCACCACCACCGCCACCUCUGCCAAACGUAGGGCCUCCACGUAUUCAUACAGGUGCUGAGGUGCAUAUCAAGAAUGGAGCUCAAUCUUUGACAACCAUGAAAAGACACCACAAUCACAUCCUUCUCCACAUGUUGCACCUGGACAUGAACAGGGAAAACUUAUGAGCAUUCCAUCUAUUACUAGUGAAAGCCUACACGAAGAAAUCAUUAAGCGGAAACAUUUAUCAUCACCUCCUCCUCAUGUUGCACCUCCACAUGUUCAGACAAUUCCUACUGUGCCACAGAGAGUUCAUGCUUAUUCAGACAAUGAAGCGGAGAAGUUUAAGUGGUUAUCUCCUUUCCAAAGUAUCAUUUAGUCUGCAAUUCGAAAUUUUGAUUAUUUUUCAAGAAUGCCCUCUAUUUUUUGUAUCAUUACUGUUGUACUGGACAAUAUGAAGGUGCUAAAUCCUGCGUGGUUAAAUAUAAGUUAAUAUGAGCGUUAAUGCUUCGUGGUUAAAAGUUUGAUCUAUUUUUGUACUAUCAAGUAAGUGUAAUUUUUGGGUUUGUUCUC